GCUCCAUCGCUCUGAUUGUGGCUCUGAUUGUGGUCUCUGUUGCGUUCGUGGUGUCUGUUCUUGCCCUGGUGCUCGUGAGCUGCAAGAAGUUUGACAAACAAACUCCAGGAAGAGCUCUGUGCAGUCUGGACUCUCCUCAACACAACCAGGUUGAAGACAGUGUUACAUAUGCUGGAGUCAGGACAGGGCACCACAGCGCCACCAGCAGGGGGACCUCCAUCCAACCCAAAGAGGACACAGUACUGUAUUCUGACGUCAGAAUUAACAACAAAAGAAGAAAUAAGUAAUAAACAGUUAUGCCAAAUGUAACUCAAACAUAAUGUAAAAACAACAAUAAGAAUAAAGUU